rnacentral:rRNA from 1 species
AUACGGAGGAUCCGAGCGUUAUCCGGAUUUAUUGGGUUUAAAGGGUGCGCAGGCGGCCAUUUAAGUCAGCGGUUAAAUCGUGGGGCUCAACCCCAUUCUGCCGUUGAUACUGGGUGGCUUGAUUGCGGUCGAGGUUGGCGGAAUUCGUUGUGUAGCGGUGAAAUGCAUAGAUAUUACGAAGAACACCGAUUGCGUAGGCAGCUGACCAGACCGCAAAUGACGCUCAUGCACGAAAGUGCGGGGAUCGAACAGGAUUAGAUACCCUGGUAGUCCGCACAGUAAACGAUGAAUACUUGUUUUCGGCGAUACAAUGUCGGAGGCAAAGCGAAAGCGAUAAGUAUUCCACCUGGGGAGUACGCCGGCAACGGUGAAACUCAAAGGAAUUGACGGGG